CAUUGUUUACUUCCUGGUUCGGUAAAGGGGUCCUAAAAAGCCACGCCCACAGAAACAUCAGUCUUUUCCAGCUGCCACCACCAGUUGAUUUAGCCACCAGUUGAUCUAUAACACCGGUUCCUUAAAUGGUUUAAC